rnacentral:rRNA from 1 species
UACGGGGGGGGCAAGCGUUGUUCGGAAUUACUGGGCGUAAAGGGCUCGUAGGUGGCCAACUAAGUCGGUCGUGAAAUCCCUCAGCUUAACUGGGGAACUGCGUCCGAUACUGGAUGGCUCGAGUUUGGGAGAGGGAUGCGGAAUUCCAGGUGUAGCGGUGAAAUGCGUAGAUAUCUGGAGGAACACCUAUGGCGAAGGCAGCUCUCUGGUACGUGACUGACGCUGAGACGCGAAAGCGUGGGGAGCGAACAGG